UUGGCUUGUGCAAACCCUUGUCCAAAUUCUGUCCUGCGCUUCCCAGGGACCCUGGGGUUCAGAGAG
rfam:Erinaceus europaeus unplaced genomic scaffold scaffold00087, whole genome shotgun sequence